rnacentral:piRNA from 1 species
UAAUUCCUAGAGAGUCAACCACCCUAUAA